CCCUGAGAUUAGCGGCGGACGGGUGAGUAACACGUGGGCAACCUGCCUAUAAGACUGGGAUAACUUCGGGAAACCGGAGCUAAUACCGGAUACGUUCUUUUCUCGCAUGAGAGAAGAUGGAAAGACGGUUUACGCUGUCACUUAUAGAUGGGCCCGCGGCGCAUUAGCUAGUUGGUGAGGUAAUGGCUCACCAAGGCGACGAUGCGUAGCCGACCUGAGAGGGUGAUCGGCCACACUGGGACUGAGACACGGCCCAGACUCCUACGGGAGGCAGCAGUAGGGAAUCUUCCGCAAUGGACGAAAGUCUGACGGAGCAACGCCGCGUGAACGAAGAAGGCCUUCGGGUCGUAAAGUUCUGUUGUUAGGGAAGAACAAGUACCAGAGUAACUGCUGGUACCUUGACGGUACCUAACCAGAAAGCCACGGCUAACUACGUGCCAGCAGCCGCGGUAAUACGUAGGUGGCAAGCGUUGUCCGGAAUUAUUGGGCGUAAAGCGCGCGCAGGUGGUUCCUUAAGUCUGAUGUGAAAGCCCACGGCUCAACCGUGGAGGGUCAUUGGAAACUGGGGAACUUGAGUGCAGAAGAGGAAAGUGGAAUUCCAAGUGUAGCGGUGAAAUGCGUAGAGAUUUGGAGGAACACCAGUGGCGAAGGCGACUUUCUGGUCUGUAAC
rnacentral:rRNA from 2 species